rnacentral:rRNA from 1 species
GACGAACGCUGGCGGCGUGCCUAAUGCAUGCAAGUCGCACGCGGCACCUUCGGGUGCUGAGUGGCGAACGGCUGAGGAACACGUGGGGACCUGUCCGGGAGUGGGGGACAACACCGCGAAAGCGGUGCUAAUCCCGCAUACGCUCUGGGGAGGAAAGCCGAAAGUCGCUCCCGGGUGGCCCUGCGGCCCAUCAGGUUGUUGGUGGGGUAACGGCCUACCAAGCCAAUGACGGGUCGCCGGUCUGUGAGGACGACCAGCCAGGCGCGGACUGGGACACGGCCCAGACUCCUACGGGAGGCAGCAGCAAGGAAUUUUCGGCAAUGGGCGCAAGCCUGACCGAGCAACGCCGCGUGCAGGAAGACGGCCUUCGGGUUGUAAACUGCUUUUGCUAGGGAUGAUAACAGACAGUACCUGGCGAAUCAGCCCCGGCUAACUCUGUG